rnacentral:lncRNA from 1 species
UGGCACCUAUAACUAGCAAUCCAUGAUAACAUACUUUGACUCCCAGUGAGGCUAUCCAUAAUGUUUUGCUUUAAUUUGUGACCAGCAAUUCAUAAUAUCAUGAUUAGUUCAUAUAUCUCUAAUUACUCAACUAUCCAAUUAUCUAAAAUUCACAUUUAUACUUGCCAAAUAAAAUAUAAUUUAAUAUUGUAUUCCACAUG